UGGGGAAUCUUGGGCAAUGGGCGCAAGCCUGACCCAGCCAUGCCGCGUGUGUGAAGAAGGCCCUCGGGUUGUAAAGCACUUUCAGUAGCGAAGAAAAGCUUCGGGUUAAUACCCCGGGGUCUUGACGUUAACUACAGAAGAAGCACCGGCUAACUCCGUGCCAGCAGCCGCGGUAAUACGGAGGGUGCGAACGUUAAUCGGAAUUACUGGGCGUAAAGCGCGCGUAGGCGGUUCGGUAAGUGGGAUGUGAAAGCCCCGGGCUCAACCUGGGAACUGCAUUCCAAACUACCAGACUAGAGUAUGGUAGAGGGAGGUAGAAUUUCCUGUGUAGCGGUGAAAUGCGUAGAUAUAGGAAGGAAUACCGAUGGCGAAGGCAGCCUCCUGGACCAAUACUGACGCUGAGGUGCGAAAGCGUGGGGAGCAAACAGGAUUAGAUACCCCCGUAGUCC
rnacentral:rRNA from 1 species